UACGUAGGCAGCGAGCGUUGUUCGGAAUUACUGGGCGUAAAGAGUGUGUAGGCGGUGCUCUAAGUUCGGUGUGAAAUCCUCCGGCUCAACUGGAGGGGGUCACUGGUAACGGUCGUGCUGAUGAGUGCAGGAGAGGGACGUGGAACUCCGGGAGUAGCGGUGAAAUGCGUAGAUAUCAGGUGGAACACCAGUGGCGAAGGCGGCUUUCUGGACGGUAACUGACGCUGAGACGCGAAAGCGUGGGGAGCAAACAGG
rnacentral:rRNA from 1 species